CUCCCCGAAAUAGCUUUAGGGCUAGCCUCAAAAGAGUCUCGCGGAGGUAAAGCACUGAAUGGGCUAGGGGCCCUACCAGGUUACCGAACCCUAUCAAACUCUGAAUGCCGAAGAGACGUUUUUUGGGAGUCAGACUGCGGGAGAUAAGUUUCGUAGUCAAAAGGGAAACAGCCCAGACCAUCAGCUAAGGUCCCAAAAUCACAGUUCAGUGGGAAAGGAUGUGGGUUUGCCAAGACAACUAGGAUGUUGGCUUAGAAGCAGCCACGCAUUCAAAGAGUGCGUAAUAGCUCACUAGUCGAGUGAGCCUGCGCCGAAAAUGUCCGGGGCUUAAACUGUGUACCGAAGCUAUGGAUGCGUGUGUGUUCAAUGGUAUAUCCUAUAGAUAAAGAAAGCACAUAGGACAUAUCUCGAAAAGCUACAAUUAGAUUUGAUUCAAGGCUUUUCGACAAAUGUUCCUUACAGCUAAAACUAUGUAGUGUACGUAAGGAUAUAGCAUUGAGCGCACACGCGUGGUAGGGGAGCUUACUGUAGGAGG
rnacentral:rRNA from 1 species